rnacentral:rRNA from 1 species
GAACCAGUACCGUGAGGGAAAGGUGAAAAGCACCCCGGAAGGGGAGUGAAAUAGAACCUGAAACCGUGUGCUUACAAGUAGUCAGAGCCCGUUAAUGGGUGAUGGCGUGCCUUUUGUAGAAUGAACCGGCGAGUUACGAUUUGAUGCAAGGUUAAGCAGUAAAUGUGGAGCCGUAGCGAAAGCGAGUCUGAAUAGGGCGUUUAGUAUUUGGUCGUAGACCCGAAACCAGGUGAUCUACCCUUGGUCAGGUUGAAGUUCAGGUAACACUGAAUGGAGGACCGAACCGACUUACGUUGAAAAGUGAGCGGAUGAACUGAGGGUAGCGGAGAAAUUCCAAUCGAACCUGGAGAUAGCUGGUUCUCUCCGAAAUAGCUUUAGGGCUAGCCUCAAGUGAUGAUUAUUGGAGGUAGAGCACUGUUUGGACGAGGGGCCCCUCUCGGGUUACCGAAUUCAGACAAACUCCGAAUGCCAAUUAAUUUAACUUGGGAGUCAGAACAUGGGUGAUAAGGUCCGUGUUCGAAAGGGAAACAGCCCAGACCACCAGCUAAGGUCCCAAAAUAUAUGUUAAGUGGAAAAGGAUGUGGCGUUGCCCAGACAACUAGGAUGUUGGCUUAGAAGCAGCCAUCAUUUAAAGAGUGCGUAAUAGCUCACUAGUCGAGUGACACUGCGCCGAAAAUGUACCGGGGCUAAACAUAUUACCGAAGCUGUGGAUUGUCCUUUGGACAAUGGUAGGAGAGCGUUCUAAGGGCGUUGAAGCAUGAUCGUAAGGACAUGUGGAGCGCUUAGAAGUGAGAAUGCCGGUGUGAGUAGCGAAAGACGGGUGAGAAUCCCGUCCACCGAUUGACUAAGGUUUCCAGAGGAAGGCUCGUCCGCUCUGGGUUAGUCGGGUCCUAAGCUGAGGCCGACAGGCGUAGGCGAUGGAUAACAGGUUGAUAUUCCUGUACCACCUAUAAUCGUUUUAAUCGAUGGGGGGACGCAGUAGGAUAGGCGAAGCGUGCGAUUGGAUUGCACGUCUAAGCAGUAAGGCUGAGUAUUAGGCAAAUCCGGUACUCAUUAAGGCUGAGCUGUGAUGGGGAGAAGACAUUGUGUCUUCGAGUCGUUGAUUUCACACUGCCGAGAAAAGCCUCUAGAUAGAAAAUAGGUGCCCGUACCGCAAACCGACACAGGUAGUCAAGAUGAGAAUUCUAAGGUGAGCGAGCGAACUCUCGUUAAGGAACUCGGCAAAAUGACCCCGUAACUUCGGGAGAAGGGGUGCUCUUUAGGGUUAACGCCCAGAAGAGCCGCAGUGAAUAGGCCCAAGCGACUGUUUAUCAAAAACACAGGUCUCUGCUAAACCGUAAGGUGAUGUAUAGGGGCUGACGCCUGCCCGGUGCUGGAAGGUUAAGAGGAGUGGUUAGCUUCUGCGAAGCUACGAAUCGAAGCCCCAGUAAACGGCGGCCGUAACUAUAACGGUCCUAAGGUAGCGAAAUUCCUUGUCGGGUAAGUUCCGACCCGCACGAAAGGCGUAACGAUUUGGGCACUGUCUCAACGAGAGACUCGGUGAAAUCAUAGUACCUGUGAAGAUGCAGGUUACCCGCGACAGGACGGAAAGACCCCGUGGAGCUUUACUGUAGCCUGAUAUUGAAAUUCGGCACAGCUUGUACAGGAUAGGUAGGAGCCUUUGAAACGUGAGCGCUAGCUUACGUGGAGGCGCUGGUGGGAUACUACCCUAGCUGUGUUGGCUUUCUAACCCGCACCACUUAUCGUGGUGGGAGACAGUGUCAGGCGGGCAGUUUGACUGGGGCGGUCGCCUCCUAAAAGGUAACGGAGGCGCUCAAAGGUUCCCUCAGAAUGGUUGGAAAUCAUUCAUAGAGUGUAAAGGCAUAAGGGAGCUUGACUGCGAGACCUACAAGUCGAGCAGGGUCGAAAGACGGACUUAGUGAUCCGGUGGUUCCGCAUGGAAGGGCCAUCGCUCAACGGAUAAAAGCUACCCCGGGGAUAACAGGCUUAUCUCCCCCAAGAGUUCACAUCGACGGGGAGGUUUGGCACCUCGAUGUCGGCUCAUCGCAUCCUGGGGCUGUAGUCGGUCCCAAGGGUUGGGCUGUUCGCCCAUUAAAGCGGUACGCGAGCUGGGUUCAGAACGUCGUGAGACAGUUCGGUCCCUAUCCGUCGUGGGCGUAGGAAAUUUGAGAGGAGCUGUCCUUAGUACGAGAGGACCGGGAUGGACAUACCUCUGGUGUACCAGUUGUCGUGCCAACGGCAUAGCUGGGUAGCUAUGUGUGGACGGGAUAAGUGCUGAAAGCAUCUAAGCAUGAAGCCCCCCUCAAGAUGAGAUUUCCCAACUUCGGUUAUAAGAUCCCUCAAAGAU